GACGAACGCUGGCGGCGUGCUUAACACAUGCAAGUCGAACGGAAAGGCCCUGCUUGCCGGGUGCUCGAGUGGCGAACGGGUGAGUAACACGUGGGUGAUCUGCCCCUUACUUUGGGAUAAGCCUGGGAAACUGGGUCUAAUACUGGAUAGGACCAUGCUGUAGGUGGUGUGGUGGAAAGAUUAGUUUCGGUAAGGGAUGAGCUCGCGGCCUAUCAGCUUGUUGGUGGGGUAAUGGCCUACCAAGGCGUCGACGGGUAGCCGGCCUGAGAGGGUGGACGGCCACAUUGGGACUGAGAUACGGCCCAGACUCCUACGGGAGGCAGCAGUGGGGAAUAUUGCACAAUGGGCGCAAGCCUGAUGCAGCGACGCCGCGUGGGGGAUGACGGCCUUCGGGUUGUAAACUCCUUUCAGCUAUGACGAAGCCCUUGUGGUGACGGUAGUGGUAGAAGAAGCACCGGCUAACUACGUG
rnacentral:rRNA from 1 species